AGUGGGAUUGCUGGGUUAUAUGGUAACUCUAUUCUUAAUUUUUUGAGGAAUCGCCAGACUGCUUUCUAUAGUGGUUGUACCAGUCUACAUUCCCACCAGCAGU
rnacentral:pre_miRNA from 1 species